rnacentral:rRNA from 1 species
UAAUACGUAGGGUUCGAGCGUUGUCCGGAUUUAUUGGGUUUAAAGGGUACGUAGGCGGCUAAAUAAGUCAGUGGUAAAAUUCUGUGGCUCAACCAUAGUAUAGCUAUUGAUACUGUAUAGCUAGAGAUACGAAGAGGCAUUAGGAAUUUGUGGUGUAGCGGUGAAAUGCAUAGAUACCACAAGGAACGCCGAUUGAGAAGUCAUGAUGCUGGGAGUAAUCUGACGCUGAGGUACGAAAGUGUGGGGAUCAAACAGG